rnacentral:lncRNA from 1 species
UCCCAAUUGGCUCUCGGGGCUGCCUUUUAGCCGGACGCGCGGAGGUGGGCAAUCCGCUCCUUCCCUUGAGCAGUCCACGCCUUGUGGCGGCUUUGCGGAGCUGCUGCUUUGGCGGGAGUUGGCGGCUGGUGUGAGGUUUCUGUGGGGAGAAGGAGAGUGCCAGAGGUGACUGGUUCGUGGUUCUUCUAGGCUCUCAUGGCCACCAUGUUGGAAGGCAGAUGCCAAACUCAGCCAAGGAGCAGCCCCAGUGGCCGAGAGACUAGCCUGUGGUCGUCAGGCUUUGGGAUGAAGCUGGAGGCUGUCACUCCAUUCCUGGGGAAGUAUCGCCCCUUUGUGGGUCGCUGUUGCCAGACCUGCACCCCCAAGAGCUGGGAGUCCCUCUUCCACAGAAGCAUAAUGGACCUAGGCUUCUGCAAUGUGAUCCUGGUGAAGGAGGAGAACACAAGGUUUCGGGGCUGGCUGGUUCGGAGGCUCUGCUAUUUCCUGUGGUCCCUGGAGCAGCACAUCCCCCCCUGCCAGGAUGUCCCACAGAAGAUCAUGGAAAGCACCGGGGUGCAGAACCUCCUCUCAGGGAGGGUCCCAGGAGGCACUGGGGAAGGCCAGGUGCCUGACCUUGUGAAGAAGGAGGUACAGCGCAUCCUGGGUCACAUCCAGGCCCCACCCCGUCCCUUCCUGGUCAGGCUGUUCAGCUGGGCGCUGCUGAGGUUCCUGAACUGCCUGUUCCUGAAUGUGCAGCUCCACAAGGGUCAGAUGAAGAUGGUCCAGAAGGCCGCCCAGGCAGGCUUGCCGCUUGUCCUCCUCUCUACUCACAAAACCCUCCUGGAUGGGAUCCUGCUGCCCUUUAUGCUGCUCUCCCAGGGCCUGGGUGUGCUCCGUGUGGCCUGGGACUCCCGCACCUGCUCCCCUGCCCUCAGAGCUCUGCUGAGGAAGCUUGGGGGGCUUUUCCUGCCCCCAGAGGCCAGCCUCUCCCUGGACAGCUCUGAGGGGCUCCUUGCAAGGGCUGUGGUCCAGGCGGUCAUAGAGCAGCUGCUGGUUAGUGGGCAGCCCCUGCUCAUCUUCCUGGAGGAACCUCCUGGGGCUCUGGGGCCACGGCUGUCAGCCCUGGGCCAGGCUUGGGUGGGGUUUGUGGUGCAGGCAGUCCAGGUGGGCAUCGUCCCAGAUGCUCUGCUGGUACCAGUGGCCGUCACCUAUGACCUGGUUCCGGAUGCACCAUGUGACAUAGACCAUGUGAGAAUGUGAGACCCUCCAGCCCCUUGGGCCCCUAGGUGGACACCAGCUCCCGACAGGAGGCACAAUAUUGUGUCCUGUGGCUGAGCCCCACUUAGGGCUGUGGGGGGCACAAAGGAAUCGUCCUUACAAUCAUCUGGCAGCACCUGCCAAGGCCAUUACCAUCAUCUCAUUUCAUCCUGUGAAGACCUUGAUAGGGAGGGAUUUUUCCUGUGUCAUGGAUAAGAAAAGAGGAGCUUGGGACAAGG